CCAGGCAGAGUGCAAGGUGCUGCAUGGCUGUCGUCAGCUCGUGUCGUGAGAUGUUGGGUUAAGUCCCGCAACGAGCGCAACCCUUAUCAAUAGUUGCCAGCGGUUCGGCCGGGCACUCUAUUGAGACUGCCGUUGACAAAACGGAGGAAGGUGGGGAUGACGUCAAGUCCUCAUGGCCUUUAUGUCCAGGGCUACACACGUGCUACAAUGGCCGGUACAAAGCGCUGCAAACCUGCAAAGGGGAGCCAAUCGCAAAAAGCCGGUCUCAGUUCGGAUUGGAGUCUGAAGGAGAGACUCCAUGAAGUUGGAAUCGCUAGUAAUCGCAGAUCAGCACGCUGCGGUGAAUACGUUCCCGGGUCUUGUACUCACCGCCCGUCACAUCACGAAAGUGGGUUGUACUAGGGCCCGUCAGGCCGACCCGUAAGGGAGGCAGGCGCCCACGGUA
rnacentral:rRNA from 1 species